UACGAAGGGGGCUAGCGUUGCUCGGAAUCACUGGGCGUAAAGCGCACGUAGGCGGCUUUCUAAGUCAGGGGUGAAAUCCUGGAGCUCAACUCCAGAACUGCCUUUGAUACUGGAGAGCUUGAGUCCGGAAGAGGUGAGUGGAACUCCGAGUGUAGAGGUGAAAUGCGCAGAUAUCAGGAAGAACACCCGUGGCGAAAGCGGCUCUCUGGAACGGUACUGACGCUGAGACGCGAAAGCGUGGGGAGCGAACAGG
rnacentral:rRNA from 1 species